UACGAGGGGGGCGAGCGUUGUUCGGAAUUAUUGGGCGUAAAGGGUGCGUAGGCGGUUUGGUAAGUCUUGUGUGAAAUCUUCGGGCUCAACUCGAAGUCUGCACGAGAAACUGCCGGGCUUGAGUAUGGGAGAGGUGAGUGGAAUUUCCGGUGUAGCGGUGAAAUGCGUAGAUAUCGGGAGGAACACCUGUGGCGAAAGCGGCUCACUGGACCAUAACUGACGCUGAUGCACGAAAGCUAGGGGAGCAAACAGGAUUAGAUACCCCCGUAGUCC
rnacentral:rRNA from 1 species